UACGAAGGGGGCUAGCGUUGCUCGGAAUCACUGGGCGUAAAGCGCACGUAGGCGGCUUUCUAAGCCAGGGGUGAAAUCCUGGAGCUCAACUCCAGAACUGCCUUUGAUACUGGAGAGCUAGAGUCCGGAAGAGGUGAGUGGAACUGCGAGUGUAGAGGUGAAAUUCGUAGAUAUUCGCAAGAACACCAGUGGCGAAGGCGGCUCACUGGCCCGGUACUGACGCUGAGGUGCGAAAGCGUGGGGAGCAAACAGG
rnacentral:rRNA from 1 species